rnacentral:rRNA from 1 species
UGAAUACGAGACGCUACGGCGUCGAAGCAGUCGAUGUCAUACUUCCAAGAAAAGCUUGCAAUGUCAUAAACAAAUAAUGCCUAUACCAUAACCGACACAGGUGGGUAGGUAGAGUAUACUAAGGGGCGCGAGAUAACUCUCUCUAAGGAACUCGGCAAAAUGACUCCGUAACUUCGGGAGAAGGAGUGCCUUAUUUAUAGGGUUGCAAUAACAAGAUCCAAGCAACUGUUUAUCAAAAACACAGGUCUCCGCUAAGUCGUAAGACGAUGUAUGGGGGCUGACGCCUGCCCAGUGCCAGAAGGUUAAAGAAGUUGGUUAGCAUCCGCGAAGCUGAUAACUGAAGCCCUGGUGAACGGCGGCCGUAACAAUAACGGUCCUAAGGUAGCGAAAUUCCUUGUCGGGUAAGUUCCGACCCGCACGAAAGGCGUAAUGAUUUGGAUACUGUCUCGGAGAGGGACUCGGUGAAAUAGACUUGUCUGUGAAGAUGCGGACUACCUGCACCUGGACAGAAAGACCCUAUGAAGCUUUACUGUAACUUGAAAUUGAAAUUGGACUUUAUUUGCGCAGUAUAGGUGGGAGGCGUUGAGAAUAUUCUUGCGGGAAUAUUGGAGCCAUCAGUGAGAUACCACUCUUGUAAUGUUAGAUUUCUACUUUGCAUCAUUAUCUGGUCAAAGAACAGUUUCAGGCGGGCAGUUUGACUGGGGCGGUCGCCUCCCAAACGGUAACGGAGGCGUACAAAGGUUUCCUCUGAACGGGUAGAAAUCGUACCUAGAGUGUAAAGGCAUAAGGAAGCUUGACUGUGAGACCUACAAGUCGAGCAGGGACGAAAGUCGGUCUCAGUGAUCUGACGGUGCUGAGUGGAAAGGCCGUCACUCAACGGAUAAAAGUUACUCUAGGAUAACAGGCUGAUCUCCCCCAAGAGUUCACAUCGACGGGGAGGUUUGGCACCUCGAUGUCGGCUCAUCGCAUCCUGGGGCGGUAGUACGUCCCAAGGGUUGGGCUGUUCGCCCAUGAAAGCGGUACGCGAGCUGGGUUCAGAACGUCGUGAGACAGUUCGGUCCAUAUCCGGUGUAGGCGUUAGAAUAUUGAGAGGAGCCUUCUUUAGUACGAGAGGACCGAGAAGGACAUACCUCUGGUGUACCAGUUAUCGUGCCAACGGUAAACGCUGGGUAGCUAUGUAUGGAGAGGAUAACCGCUGAAAGCAUCUAAGUGGGAAGCCCACCUCAAGAUAAGUAUUCUCAUG